UGACGAAUGAGAUUGGACAUCUGUCAUA
rnacentral:sRNA from 1 species